rnacentral:rRNA from 1 species
CGGUAGGGUGCAGGCGUUAAUCGGAAUUACGUGGGCGUAAAGCGUGCGCAGGCGGUCUACUAAGACAGGUGUGAAACGUCCCCGGGCUUAACCGUGGGAACUGCGCUUGUAACUGGUAGGCUUGAGUGUGGCAGAGGGGGUGGAAUUCCACGUGUAGCAGUGAAAUGCGUAGAGAUGUGGAGGAACACCGAUGGCGAAGGCAGCCCCCUGGGCUAACACUGACGCUCAUGCACGAAAGCGUGGGGAGCAAACAGGAUUAGAUACCCUGGUAGUCCACGCCCUAAACUAUGUCAACUGGUUGUCGGGGAAGCAAUUCCUUGGUAACGAAGCUAACGCGUGAAGUUGACCGCCUGGGGAGUACGGCCGCAAGGUUA